CAGAAUUUAUGGAAGAAAGGUUGGCACUACCUUACGUUAGCUCCUUAAACAAUUCUUAGACCUAAACAUGCACUAGAUCAUUAGAAGCGCAAUGUCAGGCAAGGAUAUUUGUCCGUGGUCAUUGCUUGCUGCCAGAAGAUAAAGCGGAAACGAAAAGGAAAAGUAUCGUAGUCCACGUGUCUAGCGAGAGAGAGGUUAUACUGAGUGAUUCUCAAUAAAGGAGUGUUUCAUGUUCACAUGCCUCCUACCUGCCGAGUAAAGAAUAAAGAAAGGUGGAAGAUAAGAUGAAAGAUAAAGUGAGCCUAGGAGCUAGAUCAAGGCCCAUCCGGCUGGACAUUAAGCUUAUUUCAAUGGCAUAAAGAAGGGUCUUACAUACCUACCCGUUGUGGUGAGAAAUCCUUUGAUCUUCUCGGGUGGAGAAGAAAAAAUUGGUGAUGAUACAAUUAUUUUUGUAGCAGUUUGAAUUAACCACUGAAGCCGAAAGCAUUCAAAAGUUCCAAAACAUUUUGCUGACUUUCAAGCAAAAACCGAAUCCAGUAAUGGUUUUGUUGUUCAUGCCUAGGUAAUGUUAUUUGUUGGCAAAGUGAAUUAUGUCACUUUUGCAUCUCUAAGAUCUAUUGUUUACCUGGUAUUGGCAAACCAGGAUCAGAUCGUGGAUUGAAUCAAGGACCAGAUCACGAACGCAUUAAAGAUCAGAUCAUGGAUCGGAUCGCGGAUCGGAUCGCGGAUCGGAUCGCGGAUCGGAUCGCGGAUCGGAUCGCGGAUCGGAUCACGGACGAGAUCACGGACCGUUCACAGUUUUUACAGCUUAAAUGUAAUCUGUUCAACAGUUCAUGCGUGCUACACCGUCGAAACUGACUGUUCUGUGUUUAAGUGCUCGUUUUCGCAGUUGGCGUUCAAUAUUCUUCUGUUAUUGAAAAAUCCUCCGUGGUUCCAUUACGAACUGAUCAUAGCAGCAUUUAUUCAUUUAGUUAUAUAUUUAAUUCAUAAUGUUCUUUUCCAUCCAUAUUUUGAUCCUGUGAUCCCACCAGUGAUCCGAUCCGUGAUCCGAUCGACGAUUUGGUUGUCGACGCCGAUUAUCCUACCCCCUGCUUUGGCACUUAACACGAACCUCGGCCUUGAUAAUUCUCGCCGCUAUGAUCAACCUCAUUCAACCUCAUUCAAUAAUUUUGCAACAUCAGCCUUACCAUGAUACUGUGGGAGCAUCACACUCCUCGUUUAGCCUCUGGGUUAGUUAACUACAGACUGCAUGCGCCCGCUCAGGUCAGGUUCAUUUUCUUUUUUCCUGGAUGGGUUAGUUAUUGUUUGGUGUAAUGUGUUUACGUACAGUCCAAUCUCACAGGAUGUUAAAAUGUGUAUUCUUACUUUCAUCAUUAUUGUUUU